rnacentral:rRNA from 1 species
AACGAACGCUGGCGGCAUGCCUAACACAUGCAAGUCGAACGAGACCUUCGGGUCUAGUGGCGCACGGGUGCGUAACGCGUGGGAACCUGCCCUUAGGUUCGGAAUAACUCCCCGAAAGGGGUGCUAAUACCGGAUAAUGUCUUCGGACCAAAGAUUUAUCGCCUUUGGAUGGGCCCGCGUUGGAUUAGCUAGUUGGUAGGGUAAAAGCCUACCAAGGCGACGAUCCAUAGCUGGUCUGAGAGGAUGAUCAGCCAUACUGGGACUGAGACACGGCCCAGACUCCUACGGGAAGCAGCAGUGGGGAAUAUUGGACAAUGGGCGAAAGCCUGAUCCAGCAAUGCCGCGUGAGUGAUGAAGGCCUUAGGGUUGUAAAGCUCUUUUACCCGGGAUGAUAAUGACAGUACCGGGAGAAUAAGCUCCGGCUAACUCCGUG